UCAACCAAGUACACCAAAAAGCUAUCAUGUACUUCCAAGAAAAACUAUUAUAUUGGUUAGUCGGGUAAGACUUGCUGAGUACCCCGUACUCAGGGUUAUCCCUUGUGGCUAUCUUUUCAGAAGCACCGCAGGAGUCCACUGAGGAGGAAGCCCCGAAACCCUAGGGUAUUGUUAUGAGUCUCACAAUACCCUUAGAAGAAGUUUUAUAAUGCUCAUCUCCACCCGAACCGUUUAUGUUUUAAGUCCUAGAACUCUGUCUAACACUGCACUGUUAAGUUUGCUUCAAACUAUGUAAAAAUGUAAUAUUUGUUGAUGCUAUCCCAUCGUGGAUAUAAUCCUGAUGUAUGGCUAUGAGACACGAUGUGGAUCUUUCGAGGAGUCCUAGGGACACUCGACGGACGACCGGACUUAUACUGUUUUAAGUGCGUUUCGGAUAAUUGCUGCGUCGGCAGCAAUUAGGUGCAUUUAAACCAGUUUAAGUUGGACGGUUCCGCCACAGCUGGUUUCAGAGCCGUAGGUUGGGAUAAUCAACAGAU
rnacentral:lncRNA from 1 species